AGAGUUGAUCAUGGCUCAGGAUGAACGCUAGCGAUAGGCCUAACACAUGCAAGUCGAGGGGCAGCACAUGAGUAGCAAUACGAUGGUGGCGACCGGCGCACGGGUGAGUAACACGUAUGCAACCUACCUUUAACAGGGGAAUAACCCGUUGAAAAACGGACUAAUACUCCAUAACACAGGGGUCCCGCAUGGGAAUAUUUGUUAAAGAUUAAUCGGUUGAAGAUGGGCAUGCGUUCCAUUAGCUUGUUGGUGAGGUAACGGCUCACCAAGGCCACGAUGGAUAGGGGAACUGAGAGGUUUAUCCCCCACACUGGAACUGAGACACGGUCCAGACUCCUACGGGAGGCAGCAGUGAGGAAUAUUGGUCAAUGGAGGCAACUCUGAACCAGCCAAGUCCGCGUGAAGGAUGAAGGUCUUAUGGAUUGUAAACUUCUUUUGCAAGGGAAUAAAGUGGGGGACGUGUCCUCCUUUGCAUGUACCUUGCGAAUAAGGAUCGGCUAACUCCGUGCCAGCCGCCGC
rnacentral:rRNA from 1 species